UGGGGAAUAUUGGACAAUGGGCGCAAGCCUGAUCCAGCGACGCCGCGUGUGUGAAGAAGGCCUGCGGGUUGUAAAGCACUUUCGGUGGGAACGAAAUAUGCCGGGCUAAUACCCCGGUAGGCUGACGUUACUCAAUGAAGAAGCACCGGCUAACUCUGUGCCAGCAGCCGCGGUAAUACAGAGGGUGCGAGCGUUAAUCGGAAUUACUGGGCGUAAAGCGCACGUAGGUGGCGACGUAAGUCGGGUGUGAAAGCCCCGGGCUCAACCUGGGAACCGCAUUCGAGACUGCGUUGCUGGAGUACGGAAGAGGAGGGCGGAAUUCCCGGUGUAACGGUGAAAUGCGUAGAUAUCGGGAGGAACAUCAGUGGCGAAGGCGGCCCUCUGGUCCAGUACUGACACUCAAGUGCGAAAGCGUGGGGAGCAAACAGGAUUAGAUACCCGCGUAGUCCCUGAGCGGGCUGGCAAGGCGCAU
rnacentral:rRNA from 1 species